GCUCGUGUCGUGAGAUGUUGGGUUAAGUCCCGCAACGAGCGCAACCCCUAUUGUUAGUUGCCAUCAUUCAGUUGGGCACUCUAGCGAGACUGCCGGUAAUAAACCGGAGGAAGGUGGGGAUGACGUCAAAUCAUCAUGCCCCUUAUGACCUGGGCUACACACGUGCUACAAUGGUUGGUACAACGAGUUGCGAGUCGGUGACGGCGAGCUAAUCUCUUAAAGCCAAUCUCAGUUCGGAUCGCAGUCUGCGACUCGACUGCGUGAAGUCGGAAUCGCUAGUAAUCGUGAAUCAGAAUGUCACGGUGAAUACGUUCCCGGGCCUU
rnacentral:rRNA from 1 species